rnacentral:rRNA from 1 species
AAUACUUAGGAAUCUGCCUAUUAGUGGGGGACAACAUUUCGAAAGGAAUGCUAAUACCGCAUACGCCCUACGGGGGAAAGCAGGGGCUCUUCGGACCUUGCGCUAAUAGAUGAGCCUAAGUCAGAUUAGCUAGUUGGUGGGGUAAAGGCCUACCAAGGCGACGAUCUGUAACGGGUCUGAGAGGAUGAUCCGUCACACUGGGACUGAGACACGGCCCAGACUCCUACGGGAGGCAGCAGUGGGGAAUAUUGGACAAUGGGGGCAACCCUGAUCCAGCCAUGCCGCGUGUGUGAAGAAGGCCUUUUGGUUGUAAAGCACUUUAAGCGAGGAGGAGGCUCCUGUAGAUAAUACCUACAGUGAGUGGACGUUAUUCGCGGAAUAAGCACCGGCUAACUCUGUGCCAGCAGCCGCGGUAAUACAGAGGGUGCGAGCGUUAAUCGGAUUUACUGGGCGUAAAGCGUGCGUAGGUGGCCAAUUAAGUCAAAUGUGAAAUCCCUGAGCUUAACUUAGGAAUUGCAUUCGAUACUGGUUGGCUAGAGUAUGGGAGAGGAUGGUAGAAUUCCAGGUGUAGCGGUGAAAUGCGUAGAGAUCUGGAGG